AGGUAAAAGGCCCAAUACCCAGGCCAUGAGUGAAAUCUAGGAUGCUUAGGAAUAGAGUGAUUCAUGGGAAGCGGGUGGUAUUGCGCCACUUAGCGGAACAUUGACAUCACGAGCAGUUCAGACCCUGGUUGGAUAUUGUCGUUGCAUACUUCGGGUGUGUAUAUGAUAAUAUUCUGCGAAAGGUUAUUUAUGCUGCAUUUCUCUCGACCUUACCCUGGCCUAGACGACACCCGUGAGUGGGGAAGGGUUUGAUCAUUAUUACAGGUACCGUUGGUGACUUGUGGUUCUGUUGGUGACUUUGGGUUCAGAUGACAGUUCUCAGUUGACUUUGGGUUUCAAAUGGAUUUGGGGUUCUGAGUUUAAACC
rnacentral:lncRNA from 1 species